UAAAUAGUUAAUGAAAUGCUUCUUUUAAACACCCACGAAAUUGUUUUCGAUUCUCUCUAAUGAUUCUUUUGUGUGUCUCGCACGCCAACACAAUAAUAAUUGAUGUCAUUUCUGGGUGUAGCUUUGCAGAUCAUCGUGCGCAGUGCGGUACCGUGAACCCGCCUGAUGAACCAUAAAUAGGACGGCGAGGUCAGCCAUUUUGCAUCAUUUAACGUCUAUCAAAAUGACACAGCCAUACCACGCACUCGUUCCGACACUCCUAAGACACUGUGGGUUAUGUAACGACGAAAAAACACACACAAUGAUGGCAGAGAAAUCCCACGAAAGUGUGUGUGUGCAUCCAUCAUCGAUGGUAAUUAGUUGUUUUAAUGCUCCCAUUGUUCGCUUCGAUAUUAUUGAGUAAGAAGACGGGGAGAGAAUUCACUGAACAAGAAACAAUUAAACCAGACUCAGACGCGCUCAAGGUCACCGCCUAAAUUAUUAUUCAUUAAUUACAUGCUAAUCUAUUUCACAUUCGGAGUCAUUGGCUCCAGCCAUCUACAAGUCAUAUUUGCCAAACUAUAAAGGCGAAUGUUUACAUAAUUAUGUUUUAGUUAACAUUUACAUCACCUUGACUGGCGGAAAAGAACAAAUAGAAAAUUUCGAGGUGACCCUUUGUCCCUUAUUUUUGCACGAUCAAACCGCGAAUCGGUGCAAAAACCAAGCGACAUGUCACGACACUCGUCGAGGCUACAAGAAACCAUUCUGGUUAUGGUAUUUUUUCGCCGGCACCUCUCGUUAACCUUGUAUUACGAAAUGGCGUGUAAUCUAGCCCGCAGUGUGAAAUUACGGUAAAUUAUGGAAAGUAUCUUUUAAUAUUAAACGCAUUCGUUUGCGUUUCCUGUGUUACAUUAGCAUAGCAAUGGCGAGAAAGUUGUUUCGUUA